rnacentral:rRNA from 1 species
UACGUAGGGGGCAAGCGUUGUCCGGAUUCAUUGGGCGUAAAGAGCUCGUAGGCGGUUCGGCAAGUCGGGUGUGAAAACUCCAGGCUCAACCUGGAGACGCCACCCGAUACUGCUGUGACUUGAGUCCGGUAGGGGACCACGGAAUUCCUGGUGUAGCGGUGGAAUGCGCAGAUAUCAGGAGGAACACCGAUGGCGAAGGCAGGUCUCUGGGCCAUUACUGACACUGAGAAGCGAAAGCAUGGGGAGCGAACAGG